rnacentral:sRNA from 1 species
UGCCUAAACCCUAGAUUCUAUGGCAUGGCAACAGGACGAUCAAGCACAGAGACCCCGUCAUAGGGUUGCUUGAUCGCCAUACUGGGAAACCGGUAUGUCCGGCGUAAGCUGGG